ensembl:lncRNA
UUGUUAUCACCUAUAUAGUGAUCUAGAUAACCCUUUAUCACAAUCUAGGUAAUGGCUUGACCAAAUUCCUCAGCUUUCCAUGAAUGAAGACAGGCAAGAGUAUUUUUAAUUCUUUCUGGCAACAGAUCACUGUAAAUUGACCAGAAAUAUUCAAUAUCCCACUUCAUAAAUCAGUGGAUUUGCAUCUGAUUGUGCCAGCUAUGAUAUAAGCUAGAUUUUGGGUUGAUCCAGCAUGGAUUUCUUAUUACGUUCUUUAUAUUGAGAUUUUGAAUACCAUCACACAAGUGAAACUCAAGGCUUUAAGUCUCAAAGUUUUGGUUUUUAUUUUGUCUCUGAGACAAGAAACAAGGCAGGGAAAAACCCAGCAGUGGGCAAUGCUGAUAGCAGGAAAGUUGUGUGGAAAUGUUGGGAUUUGUCUUCAUGCAAAAGUUUUUAACACAGAACAUUUAUCUGUAGAUAUUCUUGUCUACAGGCCUUAGAUUCCCAACUGGUUCCUGUCUGCCAGGCUCAAAAAAGCAAGCAAAAAGUUUGAAGGGAACCUGGGAGAUGAUUUCUUCAGGUGACAAGUGAUUUUUUUAGGAAGCACAUUAGUAAUAUUUUGUUCUUUUUCUCCUUUGCUGCAGGUGAUAUGAAAACUCUUAAGAGCUCAAAGAGUCCUCAUCAAAUAUAGUCUAUCCACCACUCCUUAUCCUUUACAGAAUCAGUGCUCAGGAGGAUGAUGAGGAUGAUGGGUGUUUCUUGUGAUCUCUGGACUGUUUUAGCUGAGAGGCCUGUGGUUGUCUCCUUUGCACUGGCUUGCCAGCUGGCCCAGUAGCACACAGUAACUUAGCAGACUCAGCAAACUCAUACCCGUUGUCGUUGCCCCCAGCAGAUGACACUAGGACCCUGCAGAAUGUAUUGUGUCUUCCCAGUACUGGCCAUAUGCCAUCUCCCUUAUGCCCAAUUCAGUUUUGCCCGGAAAGAAAAUUAGAACCAAGGUAGUAAGUUAUACGAAACAGAAAUUAAAUAGCUAGGGCAUUAGCUCAGAAAAUUGAUGGUUCAGGGGUAUAACAAUGAUACAUAAAAUCAUGAAUGGUGUGAAGCAGGUAAACAGGGAAUAGUCAGUCAUAUCUAACAGUAUUAGAACUAAUUAAAAUAGCAGUCAGACAGCUCCAAAGUGACAAAAGACACAUUAUUUUUACACACAUUGUAAUUAAAUUGUGGAACUCAAUACUUUCAAGUCAGCUGGGUUUGUAGACUAGAGAUCUGUAAAGAGAUGUUGGACAGGAGCUCUGGUUCAGAAUUGAGGAGCAGUGACUCUCUGGGAGUGUUCCUCUUUGGUACUUUGACCUUAUGUAUUCCUUCAUGCUCAUGACAGAAUUUGGAUACUUGGCUACAUGCACUUCUGGUCUGUCUCCAGGCAGCAAUUGUUAUAGUGCUAUGUAGAAGGAAAACUCUUGACAAUACAUUUAUGCAUACAGGGCCAGGCCCUCAAAAUGAGGCCAAAUUGGAUAACUGAGGCGUGAAUUCCUAUCUACUGGACAUCUAAAUGUAUGCAAACAUAUAAAUAUUUGCCUUUAUUUUGUGCCCACAGUAAGGAAAAGGAGAAACUGGACAGCCAGGUUAUUAACAGGGUCUUAAAUACCUUGAAAAUAUUCAAGAUUGGUACAUCAAUUGAAAUCGGAAUGGUGCCAACACAAGGGAGGUGACAAUGGCUUUGAUAAAUUUUUCUCUGAAGGUAGUUUCAUUAUCCUUUCAGGCACCAGAAAAUUACUAUUUUCCCUCAUGAAGGAGAUGAUUUCCUGUGGAAAGCACAGUGAUUCCACAUUUUCCUCUUGUGACGGGGGAACUCGUAAUGGUCUAGGAGGAUAGCAAUUAUUCCCACAAGCCUGCAGAUCAAGGCACCCGGCAGAUCAAGUGAAAAUAAACAGAAAGGAAGUUGUAAUAAAAAGCUAAUGAUUUGUGGGAAAUCUGCAAUAUGUAUUAAUAUUUUCUGCUUCCCCCCUCCAGGCAUGACUCAGUAGGAGCCUUUCAGUGACAUUCCCCUGACUAUCUUUUUUACAAAGGAAAGAGAAUUUGAAAUGGAGAAAAGAUUAUUUUUUAAUCAGUAACUCUGCAAUAUGCUGGCACAGAGAUGUGAAGCUCAAAGACUACAUCUUGCUCUAAAAUACUAUGAAGGAGUUUCUGGUCUAACAGAACUGAUCUUUGCACCUUAAGCUUUUGAUUCACACUUUUAUAAAACUGCCUCUUAGAUUCUUAGAUUCUUUUAAUUAGUGGCAGGCAGCUUUUGAAAGAGAAAAAUAAUGGUUACGCAGAGGAGCUGGCAGGAGUUUUCCCAACUCAUCAGGCCGGAUGCUGUUCUGCAAGUUCAAAGGGAGCAGUUUAAGAAUGCUUACCACCUCUGGCAACCGGGGCACUUUUAUUUAGGUACCCUUUAGACAAAAAAAUGUGACAUUUGUGGUUUUAUACCUGUCUCUGUUUGCUUUUGCAUCUGUCCAGCAAGAUCUGCGGACAGAGCUUUCCUGCCCCUCAGUGAUGCCCUGAGGCCUUCUUAGUUGACAGAGAGACUGAAAUACAAAAUCCAAAAGAGAGUGAGAUCAUAGAGCGACCUAUUUUGUUGACAACAAGGAAAGGACUUGGUGGCUCAGAAUAUGCAGUGGUAAUUUUGGCAUUCCUGCCUGAGAGGCUGUUGAGCUGAUCGUGACUCAUGUCAUUAAGAUGAUUUUAAUGUUCAAUGCCAGCUGAUGAAAAUUGAGGUAAGGGGAGAUUAAUUUUACAUGCAAAUGAUAGAAAAGCCUUGGAAGAUAACUCCUGAGAGAGAUCAUGAGAAAGAAAAUCUUGUCUGCCCUGAUCUCCAGGGGAGUGAGAGAACUACAGCAUUUUAUUUAGCCAUCUGGACGGAAUUAAUUUGUGGUACCUUCUGUGUCUAAUUCAUCAGUAAAAUAUUGUAUAAAAAUGACACAGUACACAUAAGGAACCCGAUAAAUGUAAAACUAAAGGACUGGAGAAGGACUGGCUGGUGGGGACCCAGCUGCCAGACAGGCCAACUCCUAUUUAUUUGUUGUUGUGAGGAAAAUAAAGGAAAAUGCUGACCAAAGGACUAAGCAAACUCACUGUCUCCAAGCAUCAGACAUGACAUCUGACCAGUUGCUCUUUCACACAAGCUCCUCACGUACAGGGGGAAUCAGUCACCUUGACUGAGCAAACAGAGACCACAUGCUAACCUGGCUGGGAAACAGGCUGACUCAGGGGAACAUCACACCCUUGGAACAUCUCAAUAUUUACAGAACCAAAUCCACAUUGAUAAUCUACACUUGCAGGGAUUGACUGCCAAGGUGGGUCAGCUCUUCUUUCAUCAGUACUUCUGGGAUGUUGAUGAACAUAAAAAGCCAAGACAUCAGCUCUGCAGGUGCCUUUGCCUCUUGGCCACUAGUGUGGGGCAUCUGGCAGAACUUCAAACCUGCUGAGCAGCUGCAGCCCCCUCAGGCCACCCAAAAAGGCAGCUGGAAAAAGCUUGUGAUUUCAGUAUAGGUUUUUUUUUCUGGACAUUGACUACUGCAGGUUGGCAGCCACCAGCUGAUUUCUUUCCAGUGAGAUUUUAGGCAUCUUGACACUUCUAUAAACAAUGCAGAAACACUACAGAAAGUCACCAGGAUUCAUGUUACUUCCUGGAGCACAGGUUUUCUUCAGUUGAAGAAACAAUUCUUCCUAGUCCCAGAGGAAAGUCUGAAGUCAAAAUGGGGAAAAGCCACUGGGGCAAAUAAGCCAGUCUCACAUCCUGUCCCCAGACUAAUUUCAGACUUGGAAAAAAAGCAGUGGAGUUUGCUGUGUUUCUGGGUAGCCCCUGCACACACAGACCUCAAACAGCUGCAACACGUGGUUAUAGGGACAGUGUGUGUGUGCAUCCUGGCAGAAUUCAUCUUCUGGUGCACUCAUCACAUUAGGAGUAGCUCUGGCAACAAAUGUUGUAUUGGGAGAGACAGAAUGGUUUUAAGUACCCCUAGGAGAGGGUUUAGAGGGCGUUUUUGCAAUUUAGGAUCUUUUCUGUUGAGAGAUGAGAAGGGAAUAUCCUUGCUCAGCAAAUCACCUUGGGGCCUCCCAGGGGGAAUCUCUUGGUUGUUCUAUUGAGUGCACCAAACAUUGUGGGCAUCCAGGAGCCUCCAGAGUUGCCAUGCAAUGAGCUUGGCCCCAGACCUCUCUACCCCCACCCUGUGUUUCCAGUGCAGGAACACAAAGAGGCACAAUACUGAGGUUUUAUGGCAGAGCAGACUUGGCUGAAAAAUCACUUUGUAAUGGGGAAAUGCUCAAAGAGACACUUUUGCUGGACUUCUCCCUUUACCAUGACCUCAGUGGCACAAAGGGUUCUACAUGUACUAUGAGUUAUAUGUAUCAUGGAGAAUUGAUUUAUUUGAUUUUUGAAUACCUUUGAGAUUUUUUGGCUAAUAUUUUCUAUGCUCAGGCUCUAUGCUGAGCUGGAAUUUCUCUAUUUCUAUGCUGGAAUAUUGGUAGAUUUUGUACAUAUGUGGAAAUUUAAGAUGAAAUAGUCCUGUUAAGAAAAAAUAAAGACAGGAGACAAAUAUCUUUAGCUGAUUAUAUUUAAGAAAAAGAAGUUUGGGGUGUUUUUUUGCCUAGUCUUCCUGACAAAGCUGUUCAGAAUAAAAUCCUGAUUUUUUUAGUAGAAUUUUCUCCAUAUUAUGCUGAACUUGGGAACUAUUUGCAUGAGAUACAAUUUUUUUAUAGUCAUGUGGUGUGCAUGAGAUACACAGCCUAGAAAGGCCACCCUGCUUCAUAAACUGCUAAAUGAUGUAGGAGAGACCAAAGAGCUGGGAAACACAGCCAGAACACUCAUUUCAUGUGCAGCUCCCUCCCACAGAGCCUUGCUUGUGCUGGCAAGCCUCUUCUUUGACCUGCUCUGCUGUUCCCAAUGCUGCUUUUACCCUCUGAAAGCAUUAAUUACAUAAUUUCUGUGUCUGUAGGGCCAGACGCCUGAAUAGCCGGGACUUUUCUUUUUUAACCUUGUAUUUCUUUCUAUCCCAAAGGAUGAGCUGCCUUCAGAAGAAUCCAAAUGAAGAGAGGCAGCAGCAGGAAGCAGAAGUUACAGGAGCUAAUCCUACAUAUCACUGUCACAGCUACUCACAGGCCUAUGAGAACAGAAAGAGGGAGCAGCAUCAAGCCAGGAGGAAGCUCUGUGUAGCAUCAGUAAUUUGCACCUUCUUCAUGAUUGCUGAGAUAACAGGGAAGUAUUGUUCAAAAAGAGCCCAGUCUGGUGCCCAGCACAGCCACAUUCUUGCCUUGAGUGCACUCUGACUGCAGGGACCAUGCUGACAUGGGGGAACCCAC